CCCGCCAUGUGCCUGUCCCGCUCUCGCACAGAGAUACCCGCCUCCCCUCCCGCCCCUUCCCUCUAGGGCUCUCCUCCUCUCCCUCCCCACAGCCCCCCGCCCGUGCCGAGAGAGGAGAGACGAGGUCCUGGCCUUUUCCAUCAGGCGGACAGCGGGCAGCCCCGGCCCGGGGUCCUCACGGGAGCUAUAAAUACCGAGGCCCCAGCACGGACCGCGCCACGUGGAGCAGAGCGGGGCUGGUUGGGGCCACGUGCGGGCUGGUGAGCGCUGCUCAGCAGUGACCCCGCCAUGGACAAGUGGUGGGGUGCCCAGGCGGGGCUGCUGUCCCUGGGGAGAUCCCCACCGUGAUCUGACCUGGGGGAGGCUGGAGGAAUGGAGCUGUGAUACUGCCCUGCAGAGAUCGGUGGGCACUGGGGUGCAGUGAGCCCCCUGGCUGGUGCUGUGCAGUGACUGUGAGGUGGUGCUAGGGUUGGGAGGGGUAAAAAUUCGCCAAGACUAUGACCUGCCCCACACUUCUGCAAGGACCUCCCUGCAGCCCCCAUGACUGGUGCUGUGCAGUGACUGUGAGGUGGUGCUAGGGUUGGGAGGGGUAAAAAUUCGCCAAGACUAUGACCUGCCCCACACUUCUGCAAGGACCUCCCUGCAGCCCCCAUGACUGGUGCCAAGACCCCACAUGUGCUGAGGAGCCAGGAUUCCUGGGUUCUUUUCCCAGCUGCCCCUGCCCCUGGCCUUGAGCCCUGCUGAUCGGGGGUGUGGGGUUCACGUACUCUUCUUGCUGAUGCACCUGCAGCUGUUGCCCCUGUCCUGCCAAUAAAGUCAUGUUAGUCUGAAUGGA